UCCCACGUUUUCCCUCCAGGGAGAGAUGACACAGAAAGUUUUCCUCCUGAAGUCCAUGUUUUGAGGGAUGCUCUGCCCUGCUCCUGAUCUUUGAGGAUGCCCAUUCCAGGUUUUUCUUUAUCUGCAAUUCCCACAGGUGCCUCGGGACUUUCUUUUGCAUCCUUGGGAAGAGGAAAAAGUUCCCAGUGGAUACUGGAACAUCAUAAAAUACAAUUAUUAAUAAUAAUAAUUAUUGUUAUUAUUAUUGUUA